rnacentral:miRNA from 1 species
UCACCGGGUAUACAUUCAUCGA